rnacentral:lncRNA from 1 species
GGUCGUGGGAGCCUAGCGCUGCGGCGCGUGGAGCGGGGAGAGCUCCCGCGGGCCUGAGAAACGCAGAUACCCUCAGAAAGGAAACGGAUGCGACCUAGACGCUGGAGACGAAACGAAAGAUGUCUUGACUUUGGGAUCGAACUCGGGUCCUUGUGCUUGCGCAGCAGGUGGCAAAACCACUGAGCUAAAUCCCUGGCCCUGUUUCUGUAAGUUUUUGCAUCACUAAUUAUUAAAAUUUCUGUUGUCUGUGUCUAUUGGCCUUUCCCUUCAGUGCU